rnacentral:SRP_RNA from 1 species
CCGUGCUAGACGGGGAGUUGGCGGUGCCCUGUAACCCGAAAUCCGCCCAAGCGGGGUUGAAGUCCCCUCGGAGAUCGUCCGACCCUCAUUCGUCACGGGAAAUGGAGCAUUGAAGGACAGGUCCUGCGCAGCGAUGGCCCAUGAACCCCGUCAGGACCGGGAGGUAGCAGCGGUAAGUGGUUUCCAUCGCGUGCCGCGGUACCACCUGUCCGGAGCCACCAGCCCGCGGCGGAUGCAGGCGAAGCGAGCGACGAGGGGUGCACGG